CAAUAGCGUAUAUUAAAGUUGUUGCAGUUAAAAAGCUCGUAGUUGGAUUUGUGGCGUACGGUGUGUUCCGGGCACUUGUUGUCUGAGUAACCUGCUGUUGCCAUCCUUGGGUGGAACCUGUGUGGCAUUAGGUUGUCGUGCAGGGGAUGCCCAUCAUUUACUGUGAAAAAAUUAGAGUGUUCAAAGCAGGCUUAUGCCGUUGAAUAUAUUAGCAUGGAAUAAUGAGAUAGGACUUUUUUGCUAGUUUGUUGGUUUGCGCAAAGAGGUAAUGAUUAAUAGGGACAGUUGGGGGUAUUCGUAUUCCAUUGUCAGAGGUGAAAUUCUUGGAUUUUUGGAAGACGAACUACUGCGAAAGCAUUUACCAAGGAUGUUUUCAUUAA
rnacentral:rRNA from 1 species